GAGGGUAUAGCUUAGUGGUAGAGCAUGUGCUUAGCAUGCACGAGGUCCUGGGUUCAAUCCCCUGUAUCUCCA
rnacentral:tRNA from 1 species